UGGGAAUUUGGACAAUGGGCGAAGCCUGAUCCAGCAAUGCCGCGUGUGUGAAGAAGGCCUUCGGGUUGUAAAGCACUUUUGUCCGGAAAGAAAUCCUUGGCUCUAAUACAGUCGGGGGAUGACGGUACCGGAAGAAUAAGCACCGGCUAACUACGUGCCAGCAGCCGCGGUAAUACGUAGGGUGCAAGCGUUAAUCGGAAUUACUGGGCGUAAAGCGUGCGCAGGCGGUUUGCUAAGACCGAUGUGAAAAUCCCCGGGCUCAACCUGGGAACUGCAUUGGUGACUGGCAGGCUAGAGUAUGGCAGAGGGGGUGAAAUUCCACGUGUAGCAGUGAAAAUGCGUAGAGAUGUGGAGGAAUACCGAUGGCGAAGGCAGCCCCUGGCAAGUCACUGACGCUCAUGCAACGAAAAGCGUGGGGAGCAAAACAGGAUUAAUACCCUGGUAGUCCACGCCCUAAAA
rnacentral:rRNA from 1 species